rnacentral:rRNA from 1 species
UACGAAGGGGGCUAGCGUUGCUCGGAAUCACUGGGCGUAAAGCGCACGUAGGCGGCUUUUUAAGUCAGGGGUGAAAUCCUGGAGCUCAACUCCAGAACUGCCUUUGAUACUGGGAAGCUUGAGUCCGGAAGAGGUGAGUGGAACUCCGAGUGUAGAGGUGAAAUUCGUAGAUAUUCGGAAGAACACCAGUGGCGAAGGCGGCUCACUGGUCCGGUACUGACGCUGAGGUGCGAAAGCUAGGGGAGCAAACGGG